AAGGGUAAAUGAGUAAUUCCAAUAUCGUGUAAUGGGCUGUUCACAUCACGCGCGUUGGUGUGUCCGUUUCGUGUUGUCGGUCGCUCUUUCGUUGGAGUUCUUCCUCCUCGCAUCGUCCCGUUCCAACCCCCGCUCCUCUAUUAGAGUCUCCGGCCGCGAUUCGAGAUGGAUAGAUGAAUGCUGAAGGGUUAAUAAUCUGAAGACCAUUCUGCUUCAUGUCUUUCCAGUGGUCGAUGCAAAUGUUUCCAAGUUAAAAUAUUUCUACAUGACUAUGAUCUAAAGCUUUUGAAGAAAUUUCAGUGAAAGGUGCAAUUAAGAUCUGUUAAGACUAAGAACAAUAUGUUAUAUUACUCGGAUGAAUGAUUGAAUUUUAUUAAAUAUUA